ACGCAAUAGAUACCCAGGUAGUCCUGGCCGUAAACGAUGACCACCCAGGUGUGGGAGGUAUCGACCCCUUCCGUGCCGCAGUUAAACACAGUAAGUGGUCCGCCUGGGGAGUACGGUCGCAAGAUUAAAACUCAAAGGAAUUGACGGGGACCCGCACAAGCAGCGGAGCGUGUGGUUUAAUUCGAUGCGACGCGAAGAACCUUACCAGGGUUUGACAUGCCGCUGCACCGCCAGGAGACUGGCGUCCUCGCAAGAGGCGGCGGCACAGGUGCUGCAUGGCUGUCGUCAGCUCGUGCCGUGAGGUGUUGGGUUAAGUCCCGCAACGAGCGCAACCCUCGUGCUCGGUUGAGGUCUCCGAGCAGACUGCCACGCUAAACGUGGAGGAAGGUGGGGAUGACGUCAAGUCAGCACGGCCCUUACGUCCUGGGGCGACACACACGCUACAAUGGCCGCGACAACGAGUGGCCAACCCGCGAGGGGAGCUAAUCUUACAAACGCGGUCUCAGUUCGGAUGGCAGGCUGCAACCCGCCUG
rnacentral:rRNA from 1 species